AUAUUUACCUGAUAGGGGAGAUACCAUGAGCACAAAGCUGGCUAUCCCAGGGCGGGGUUUAUCCAUUGCACUCCAGAUGUGCUGACCCCUGAGAUUUCCCCAAAUGUAGGAAACUUGACUGCAUAAUUUGUGGUAGUGAGGGACUGUGUUCGCGCUUUCCCCUA
rnacentral:snRNA from 1 species